UUGGCAAAGAACUCCACAAUCCAAGUGACC
rnacentral:piRNA from 1 species